rnacentral:rRNA from 1 species
GUCUAUGGCCUUACCAACCGGAACCCACCUGAUCUCGGAAGCUAAACAUGGUCAGCCUGGUUAGUACUAGGAUGAGAAAAGUUGGAGUAGAUGAUGGAUCAGUGAGGAAAAGCUGGGCUCGAUC